UUACGGCCAUAUCACGUUGAAACACCGUUCUCAUCCGACCACUAAAGUUAAUCAACGUUGAACCUGAUCACUACCUAGACGAGUGACCGCUAGGGAAUACCACGUGCUGUAA